rnacentral:rRNA from 1 species
UGGAAGAAAAAAGUAAAUAAGAACUUGAAUAUUAAUAGAUACGUUCUUUAAAAUCAAAGAAUUUGGCGGUAUUUUAGUCUUGUUAGAGGAACCUGUUCUGUAAUCGAUAAAACACGUAAGAUUUUAUUUGCUUUUGUUAUUCAGUUUGUAUACCGUCAUUAUUAAAUAAUCUUGAAAAAGUUAAUUAUUGGGGUUAGGGGUUAAAAGCUAAGUAUAUUAGAUCAAGGUGCAGCUUAUGGGCAAGUAGAAAUGGGUUACAAUAAAAUAUAUUUAAACGAAUUGUAGGAAGAAUUAUUUACAAAGAAGGUGGAUGUAAUUGUAAGAAUAAUUUAAUAAGUUAUUUUGAUAUAAGCUCUAAAUUAUGUACAUAUCGCCCGUCGCUUUCAUUUAAAAUGAAAUA